rnacentral:rRNA from 1 species
UGGCGAACGGGUGAGUAACACGUGGGCAACCUGCCCAAAAGAGGGGGAUAACACUUGGAAACAGGUGCUAAUACCGCAUAACCAUAGUUACCGCAUGGUAACUAUGUAAAAGGUGGCUAUGCUACCGCUUUUGGACGGGCCCGCGACGCAUUAGCUAGUUGGUGGGGUAAAGGCUUACCAAGGCAAUGAUGCGUAGCCGAACUGAGAGGUUGAUCGGCCACAUUGGGACUGAGACACGGCCCAAACUCCUACGGGAGGCAGCAG